GACGAACGCUGGCGGCGUGCUUAACACAUGCAAGUCGAACGGUAAGGCCCUUCGGGGUACACGAGUGGCGAACGGGUGAGUAACACGUGGGUGAUCUGCCCUGCACUUCGGGAUAAGCCUGGGAAACUGGGUCUAAUACCGGAUAGGACCACUGCCUGCAUGGGUGGUGGUGGAAAGCUUUUGCGGUGUGGGAUGGGCCCGCGGCCUAUCAGCUUGUUGGUGGGGUGAUGGCCUACCAAGGCGACGACGGGUAGCCGGCCUGAGAGGGUGACCGGCCACACUGGGACUGAGAUACGGCCCAGACUCCUACGGGAGGCAGCAGUGGGGAAUAUUGCACAAUGGGCGCAAGCCUGAUGCAGCGACGCCGCGUGAGGGAUGACGGCCUUCGGGUUGUAAACCUCUUUCAGCACCGACGAAGCGCAAGUGACGGUAGGUGCAGAAGAAGGACCGGCCAACUACGUGCCAGCAGCCGCCGCAG
rnacentral:rRNA from 1 species